CACGCAGGCGGUGCAGCGCGUUUCGCGUGACAGCGGGUGGCUUAACUGCCCGAGGGUGCGAAAGACGGCGGCACUCGAGGGCCAGAGAGGGACACGGAAUUCCGGGUGGAGUGGUGAAAUGCGUAGAGAUCCGGAGGAACACCGAAGGCGAAGGCAGUGCCCUGGCUGGUGACUGACGCUGAGGUGCGAAAGCCAGGGGAGCGAACGGGAUUAGAUACCCCGGUAGUCCUGGCCGUAAACGAUGACCACCAGGUGUGGGAGGGCUCGACCCCUUCCGUGCCGGAGUUAACACAUUAAGUGGUCCGCCUGGGGAGUACGGUCGCAAGAUUAAA
rnacentral:rRNA from 1 species